AGAGUUGUAGGGAGGAAAUAAAGCUGGUUCGUUGGUAGCCAGCUUCUGGAGUCAAACAAUCCACCACUGUUUUGUAUCAUGCUACCAGGAGAAUUAUCUUUAGCUAUGAAACAAGAGCCCUGAGCAACUGUAGGUAUGGAGGAAGCCACGACACAUUUCUCACAAGAUGAGAGGUGAUAAAAUGAAUAUUUACAUGCUGGUUUGCACUCUGCCUCUCUACAUUAUCUCUUCAUUUUCAGCUGGGCAAGCCCUGAAGUGAUCUGGUUUGCUGGUAAAUCUGUCCUGAGCUGCUUCCUCAGCACAACUGCUGCUUGCUUUCUUCCCCAUCAGAGGCACAUGAAGAAACUCCCGUUCCUUCUGUGGUCCUUGGCUAUGCCAUAGUUACAUGUGCUGCUUUUACAUCUUCACUGCAACAUCUGCUUCCCAGUGAGUACUUCGGUCUCCCAUGGAAGUCACACCAGCACUAUCCAUGCUUUGCCACUAUGCCUAUCAGCCUACAACUGGGAGAGUAUUCACCUAAACCCCUUGCUGGCACGUGGGCAGUGCCAGGAAUAUGCGGGAUCUGAAACCAUAGGUGACACCUGCUAGCCAUGACUCAAUGAAAGCAAAUGAAAGACGUGAUGCAGUAAGCACUUGGCUCUAGCUCUUUUAAUUGGAGUUUCGUUUUUAUUCGUAUUUCUUUUCUGUCUGCUUUUCCAAAGUUUCAUAACACAGGAAGCCAAUUCUUGUGGAUGGUGAACAAACCAUUGACAAUCCCAUGGAGGGAAUUUUCCUGCAUCGGGUACAUGUGCACUGUCUGCAGAUCAGACUUCUUACUCACUUUACCUUCCAUCACUGCAGUCACAUUCAUGGAUUGCCCCUGGCCUGACAGACUUUAACUAUCUGCAAAGGAGUGCUCUAAAUUUAAUUUGCAUGCAGGAAUUGGUAAGACCUAAAUUUUACAACAAGGCUCCCUGGACUGACACAGCAAUGCUGAAUGCUACUCUGGUAUGAUGGGGUAAUUAAUCAGUUGCUGGAAACCUUCAACAUGCACUGAACAUCACCCUAGAAAUGAAACAAAGGGGAAAGUUUUGCUGGUGGCAGAAAGGAUAUAAUCUCCUCGUGGAGAUUCAGACUCUUCAUCGUAUGAACCGUUUCAGAGAGGCAGAGAUGAAGGUGCGGAAAGAGGACAGGGCAAGAGGAAGAACGUUGCACGAGGAAGAACCUGGCAGAGGCCAAUCAGUCAAAAAAAAAAGGAAAAACUGUGGCAAGGAAGUAUAUCUAAGGAAGCAAAGAAGGAAAAGAUGCAACUGCUCACCUGGCUGCCACAUCAUUUUCUUUGUCCCACGUGUACCAAUACCAAGAAAACAGGAACAAAAAAUUGAGGCUGAAGGACUGGACAAUCUGUGUCAGUCAUUUAAAUGAAAAAAUAAAGUUCAUUUCCAGUUUGCAAACUUGCAUUACUUACCACAGGCUUUGCUGAGAUGUGGGACCAAACAAUUAAAUUAUUAAAAUAUUGCUUGAC
rnacentral:lncRNA from 7 species